AGGACAUCGUCACGCGUACAUAUCCAGCCCCCGUCGUUGAGGAGAGGGACGACGUUAUUGGGAUGACCUCCCCCAUUGAUACCGCAAUACCAUCCCAUCAGUCACAUGAGGGUCAUCGACAGGAUGGGGCAUCGGUUGACCCUUCGGUGACUUCACCGAUCCGAUCUGAGG